UUCAGGUCUGUGGUUGAAAGUCGAUGCCAGUUGCAGGCGAAACGAUCCACGUAAGCAAUGGAAUUCAUUGUGAGCACGGUGCAGCUUAGAAGUAAGUCCUGCCGUCAGAGACGAGAGAAGUAGUAGUGGGGAGCGCAAGGCUUAGGAGCGAACCUUCCAGCAGGCGGGUGUGGGGGCGAAAACCAGGUCAGCUGAA
rnacentral:ncRNA from 1 species